UUUGUACUCUUUUCUUUUAAUCUCUAUUUGUUUAUUUGUUCUAAAAAAUAAAACAAAGUUCCAAAACGCUCUUACACCAGUUCAUAUCACAAAAUUGCAAACCCUUUAACACCAACUCUUAUCACAAAAUGGCAAACACAUUAACACCAACUCUUCUCGCCAUCUCCUCACGGACGAACUCCAUUCAAACGGACACACCAACACUUUACGAUGUGAAUCGCAAUGAGUUUGUUCGAGUUCGUCGAUUGAGAUCGCUUACCAGUAGAUUUGACAUUUAGCUCGGUUGAUUGCGUCUGCUUCUCUCCAGGUACUCCCUCUCUCAUAAUUUUUUUGUAUUUAUUUUGCAAUUCUCAAUAGUUGAUUCUGAAUUGUAGUCCCAUAUUCCUUUGAUAUACACUUUAUGCCUGAGAUGCAUAAUACAAUUUUUGGGGUUUGUUUUUGGGGGUUUGUCCCAUUAUAAUUUUCGAAUUAAAUCUUUUAGUGUUCUCUUUGGUAUUUUUCUUAAAAUCUAUUCUGGAUUGGCUUCUUCUUAUGCUGCAAGGAAGUGUUGAAAUUUUGGAGAUUUAAGCUUAUGUGUUUGCUUUCUUAAGAGGAUUUAUACUUUAUGCUUAAGAUGCGUAAUUGGUGGAAUUAGACACUUUGAAGAAUUCUAAUUGAUUAGUCAUUUUAUUGCUAUCUUUGGGUUUAAAGAAUGAUGUCGAUACGAUUAGGUUUAACCGUUAAUGGUUCCGUUAAAAGAAGCAAAUUAAAAAAAAAAAAUUGUGGUUAUUGUGGCUAGCGUUGUUGUUUGAAUUUUGGAUUUUUUUAUCUGUUAAGGUUUUUGGUUAUGGAUACCAAGUUUGGGUUGUCAUAUACAUUAGAAAAGCUUUUUAAGGAAGUUUUUCAAAAACAAAAUCUCGUUGUAAUCAAGUAAGCAAUUCAUACACAAUUAUUUUGAAAUAAAUUAAGUUUCAAAAUAGAAAUUCCCGUAGUUUUAUUUCAUCAGCAAAUCAAAUUUUAAAUGGCAGUCAGCCCUUUUGCCUUUUGUCCGAUCAUUUUGGCUUAAAAGCCAUUUUAGUUUGAUCCAAUCCAUCUACAUCCCUUGUCUGUAAUUUCAGUGGCAUAUCAACGGUAAAGAUAAGUUUUUUAUCCAUCACUUCAAUCUUUAGAAUCUUCUUAUGCAAAGCUUCAAUGGUCAAGUUUCCUCCAUUUUUGCUCCUUUACUUUGUUGUUUGAUUUUGGUUUUGCUGUGAAUCUCCAAAUAGACAAGUGUCUCCUUAUUGAAAUGCCUUAAAAAGUAUUUACUUAAAUAAGGGGUAGUGGUUUAUACAUUAUAUGGCAUGAACAAAAGCAUCAAUGACUAAGCAAACAAAAGAUUUGGGCUAUCUGUUAGCUGAGAAUUACCUGAUAACCCCAUGAGAAAUUGUUGAUAGCUUUGGCCUCUUUGUUGUAUUGAAUAAUUACUGACUUUACACCAAGAGCCCUGCGUUCAAGAAAUGAUCUUGAAUCCUGCACGUUGAAGAUAAAAUUUAUUUUAUCUUUAUAAUCUCUUGCUGCUAAAUACUUUUUUAUGAAACUAGAGAUCGUAAGUCUAAAAAAAAGGUCCUUACUGUUAGUUGCAACUCUGGAAAACCAACAGAGGAAAUAAAAGUAUGUUCCGAUAAGCCAGCAAUUGCACUUAAUAAUGAGAUGUUGUUUUGUCUCUUUAUUUAGAGAAACUGUGCUCUCUAAUGUAAAUGUUGUAUCUCGAACCGUCCAUGUGCAGAACCUACAAUACUCGUCUGUUAGAAUACUUUAAGAGGUUUUUGUAAAUUCAUAUUUUUGAGCUGCUCAAAGUGUUGACUUGUGCUUCACAUAGAAGCAUCAGUGGUUAUGACCUCCUAUCUGGAGACAUUUCUUUCAGUGUGUAGAUUGGGAUUAGGAACACUAUGAAAUAAAAAACUAUGGUUUCUUUUUUCCUUUUCGGAUAUGGAAGCAGUUUUUUACUUUGCUAGCCAAGACAUUAAUAUUCGCAAGUAACAUUUCCAUAAACGAAGUGUAGAAUCUGCAAAUCUAAUCACUCUUGUAACCAAUGGUACAAUGGAAAUCUCGAAAAUUUUCAAAUUUGCAUUAGUAAAUAUGGUGUUUUUGUGUAUGCAUGUGUCUCUUUUUCUCAUUAUCAUGUACUUAAUAAAAAAUAAUUUGUAAUAGUAAUUGUCUACUGUAUCUUGCUUGUCGUUCUGCCUUUUGAUUUUUCAUCAUUUUUUUUAAUAAAGUCCACUUGGCAUGAUGCCUAGGGCUGAUUUUAUAUAUUUUUUUCAACGCGAAACAAAUAAAGAAUCUUUACUAAUGUAGCCAAAAUGGCUAAUAAAGAUGCAAAAAUUAAUCUAAUGACCAACUUAAGAUUUAUAUGAUAUCUUAAGUUGGUGCUACAAAUUGCUAAUAGCCUACUAACUAGAAAUCUGAAAAUUACAUUGUAAACUAUAAGAUAAAAACGAUUUUUGGUCAUUAAAUGAUCAAACAACUAUUUCAGCAAAAUGUAUAAUUGCCAUAUAUCCUCUGCAGCUGCCAAAUAUUUGCAUAUAUGGCAUCAUCUCAUGUUGUAGCUGUAUGAGCAAUUUGUUGCAUAUUUGGUAAUCUUUCUCUGCUGCAGAAUCUUGCAUGUAGUAGCAACUUCUGCCUUUCUCACUUGAAACUUGAAAUUGCAACUUUGCUUGUGUAGUUGUUGCACCACAACCAGUAGAACUAAUAUAUCCCAUAUCAUUUCCUGAAUUUGGAUCAAUGAAAUAAUAGUAGUAGCCUACAUUGUAUGAAUUUUGUAUCACAUCAUAUCCUACGUAAGUAGGACCAGUAACACAAACACUAACCACAAGUCCAAAAAUCCUGUUGCCAAUAUAAAUCAGUACCAGUAGCAGCUGCUUGCAUAAUGACCAGUAACCAAAAUUCCUGCUACCAGUAUAUAUCCAUGUAGCCUGUUUAUUCCUUUUCCUUAUAUCUGCUAUAACUCCCAUAUCAUUUCUAAGCUGAGUAGGAUCAAUAAGGUAUAGCAUAUUAUCAAAUUUGGUCCAUAGUUGCAUCACUUCAUUCCCAUUUGCUUAGGAUCAGUGGCACAAACAUGUUCUAGUUUUCCUGAUUUCCUGGUGCUGUUGUAUUUCCAUGCAAAACUUAAACUUGCAAAAAAGAAAAUAGUGUUAGUGUAAAAAUUUACCACCAUGCUCUCCUCCCAUAGGAUUUAAUAUGGUGAUAAGGCCUCCUUGCUAUCCCACCACCAACAACCAUCUUCAAUAUCACCAUCAGGCAUGAAUUUUCAGCAUAAUUACAGCACUUGUGACCUUGUCUGACUAGCAGCACCCUACCUUUUGUAACUGUUGUACAUCUGCAAGUCCCAAACCAAAUCCUGCUGCCUGCUAGUUUCCAUGGAAAACUUGUUCCCAACUUACCAAGUCUCAUGUCAUUUCUUGUGAUAAAGACAGAUAUAUAAAACUCCACUUUACACCAUUUUUGGAUCAACUCAUUUCUCAACUAAGUAGGAUCAUUGAACUAGUAUAGCACCACCUCAUUUCUCACAUAAACAGGCUCCAUAAUAAUCAUGAUUCCUGUAAUUUUUAGAUCUUUGUCCACCAGUAGUAUGCUCAAAUUGCCACAACCAUCAGUAACACUAAAACUGGUGGUAUUGUUUUUCCUCCCAUCACCAGAUGACAUUUAGUAACCAAUUAUAUGCUUAGAAAAGCGGAACAAGCUAGAAUGACUAGAAUACAUGGCUUGCACUUUUUUAAUAUAUAUAUGUCACAAGUUAUUAGGACAAGCAAGCAUGCAAUCAUUAUUAAUAUCAUACAAAUUUAAUUCAUAUAUAUGUGGGUAUGAGAUUAUUCUUGAAGGAAUCGCAUGUAUGAUAUUCUCUCUCUUGGUAAGAAUAAUAACUCCUCAUUCAAAGCCCAAGAACGGUAUAUAACUCGAGGCCUUCAUAACCUCCUCAUAUGGACAUAUUCAAAAUCUUGAAGGCGAGAGGUAUGUAUUCACAAGUUACAUGAGUUAUGAUUUUGAUCUAUCUUAACGAACUCUUCAUAUGAGAUAUGAAAAGGAAGAAAAAUCAUUUAUUGAUUAUUCUCAUCCUUUUGGUUGCAAAUGUCUAUCGUCAUGGUAAGGACCAAGUGGUAAAAUUCAUGGCAUAUUCUGUAAUCUUUAUUACUGAUAAUUCUUAUGGCUUUUAAACAAUUAGUUAUAAAGAUCUUUAUGCACGUUCUCUUUAGACUAAUGUUUGUUGAAGUGAAAUUGAGCAUGAAGAUGAAUAGCGUACUCUGGACAACAAGAAAUCGAUUGAUAUGCAUAUGUAUGUACAAGCUUAACUAGAGAUGAAGCAUGGAAGUAAAUGAAAGAUUCCAACAAUGCAAGAAUAGUUGAAUGCAAAUGGAGGAAAUAACAUAUGAGAACUUAUAGCCAAGGAAACUGAUCUACAAUUAUGGAUGUUCAGAUGAACCUUAUGAAAAAGGUAAGGUUGUAAGAACUAAGGGUAAAAUUGUAGCUCAAGAUUUCACAACAAGAAGAUUUUACAAGGUAUUCGAACUUGAGAUGAUUACGAGGGAGAAUUAACAUCCUUCUUCAAGUUUCAAAUAAUGCAAAGUUAGAUGAGAGGUUUUUCAGCGAAGCCAAGUAUUCAAAGGGAGUACUCAAGAGAUUUUGUAUGAAAAAUUUGUUGUACAUGAAUACUCUAGUAAGCUCAUCAUAUCUCUCUCGCAAAUAAGAAAAAUGGUGGUAAGUACACAAAUCAAAAGUGCCAAGGUAUGAUUACCUCUCUAUUGUAAUUCAAUAAUUAUUAGACCAGAUUUCGUGUUUAAGCCACCCUAUUCUUUUAUAAAAAGAUUAUUGAGAUUUCUGGUUGGCACUCAAAAAAUUGAUUUUUGUAUCCAAGAACUAACAGUUUUGAUCUAGCGGGAUACCCUUAGAUGCAAACCUUGCAGGAGACAAAGUUGACUAGCAUAAAUCAUGUUUUGAUCAUGUAUAUCAUGAAGAGUCAAGAGCAAGGAUUCACAACUUUAUCUAGUUGAUAAAAGAUUAUAUGGAAGCUUGCCUUGAAGACAUUGCAUAUUAAGAUGCAGAUAUUUUCU